CCCACAUGAAUAUCUAGGAGGCCACUCUCCUCAGACAUUAUUCAAGUGGCAUGAGGGAACACAAGGCUCUAUUCCUUUCGACACAGUCCCUUUCCACAAUAUUGAAUGAAACCCUGGGCUUUGGAUCUGCACCUGCACCUGCCUACAGCUUCUGAUUCCUCUGUACCACGGCUAGGAGACAAGCCAUGCAGGAAACAGCU